rnacentral:sRNA from 1 species
AUUGCUGCAAGCUAUCCCUCACUGCUAAGCUAUCACUGUCAACCUCUCUAUUGCUGCAAGCUAUCCCUCACUGCUAAGCUAUCGCUGUCAACCUCUCUAUUGCUGCAAGCUAUCCCUUGCUGCUAAGCUAUCACUGCCAAUCUAUCUAUCGCUGUCAAUCUAUCUAUCACUGUCAAUUUAUCUACCACUGUCAAUCUAUCUAUUGCUGCUAAUCUAUUGCUGCUGUCAAUCUAUCUAUUGCUGCUAAUCUAUCUAUCACUGCUAAUCUAUCACCACUGUCAAUCUAUCCCUCACUGCUAAGCUAUCCCUCACUGCUAAGCCAUCACUGUC